GACGAACGCUGGCGGCGUGCUUAACACAUGCAAGUCGAACGGAAAGGCCCUGCUUUUGUGGGGUGCUCGAGUGGCGAACGGGUGAGUAACACGUGAGUAACCUGCCCUUGACUUUGGGAUAACUUCAGGAAACUGGGGCUAAUACCGGAUAGGAGCUCCUGCUGCAUGGUGGGGGUUGGAAAGUUUCGGCGGUCGGGGAUGGGCUCGCGGCUUAUCAGCUUGUUGGUGGGGUAGUGGCUUACCAAGGCGUUGACGGGUAGCCGGCCUGAGAGGGUGACCGGCCACAUUGGGACUGAGAGACGGCCCAGACUCCUACGGGAGGCAGCAGUGGGGAAUAUUGCACAAUGGGCGGAAGCCUGAUGCAGCAACGCCGCGUGCGGGAUGACGGCCUUCGGGUUGUAAACCGCUUUCGCCUGUGACGAAGCGUGAGUGACGGUAAUGGGUAAAGAAGCACCGGCUAACUACGUG
rnacentral:rRNA from 1 species